rnacentral:rRNA from 1 species
CCUGCCCCCUGAAUUAAAUUUUAAAUGGCCGCAGUAUUUUGACUGUGCAAAGGUAGCAUAAUCAUUAGUUUUUUAAUUAAAAGCUGGAAUGAAGGGUUGAACGAGGAAAAAGCUGUCUCAAUAUUAGUAUUAGAAUUUUAUUUUUAAGUUAAAAAGCUUAAAUUAAUUUAAAAGACGAGAAGACCCUGUAGAGUUUUAUAUUUAGUUUAUUUUUAAUUUUUAGGAAAUUUAAUUAUUUGAAGUAUUUUAAAUAUUUUAUUGGGGUGAUAGAAAAAUUUAAUAAACUUUUUUUUUAUAAAGACAUUUAUUUAUGAAUAUUUGAUCCUUUUUUUUUGAUUAUAAGAUUUAAUUACCUCAGGGAUAACAGCGUAAUUUUUUCUAAGAGUUCAUAUUAAAGAAAAAGAUUGCGACCUCGAUGUUGGAUUAAAAUUAAUUUUGGUGUAAAAGCUAAAGUCUUUAGGUCUGUUCGACCUUUAAAAUUUUACAUGAUC